rnacentral:rRNA from 1 species
UUUAUGGAGAGUUUGAUCCUGGCUCAGGAUGAACGCUGGCGGCGUGCCUAAUACAUGCAAGUCGAGCGAACAGACGAGGAGCUUGCUCCUCUGACGUUAGCGGCGGACGGGUGAGUAACACGUGGAUAACCUACCUAUAAGACUGGGAUAACUUCGGGAAACCGGAGCUAAUACCGGAUGAUAUAUUGAACCGCAUGGUUCAAUAGUGAAAGACGGUUUUGCUGUCACUUAUAGAUGGAUCCGCGCCGCAUUAGCUAGUUGGUAAGGUAACGGCUUACCAAGGCAACGAUGCGUAGCCGACCUGAGAGGGUGAUCGGCCACACUGGAACUGAGACACGGUCCAGACUCCUACGGGAGGCAGCAGUAGGGAAUCUUCCGCAAUGGGCGAAAGCCUGACGGAGCAACGCCGCGUGAGUGAUGAAGGUCUUCGGAUCGUAAAACUCUGUUAUUAGGGAAGAACAAAUGUGUAAGUAACUAUGCACGUCUUGACGGUACCUAAUCAGAAAGCCACGGCUAACUACGUGCCAGCAGCCGCGGUAAUACGUAGGUGGCAAGCGUUAUCCGGAAUUAUUGGGCGUAAAGCGCGCGUAGGCGGUUUUUUAAGUCUGAUGUGAAAGCCCACGGCUCAACCGUGGAGGGUCAUUGGAAACUGGAAAACUUGAGUGCAGAAGAGGAAAGUGGAAUUCCAUGUGUAGCGGUGAAAUGCGCAGAGAUAUGGAGGAACACCAGUGGCGA